AAACAUAGCCGGUAGCUAAUAAAUUAUCGGUGAUACCUGCCCAGUGAUUUUUAACGGCCGCAGUACUAUGACUGUGCAAAGGUAGCAUAAUCAUUUGGCUUUUAAUUGAAGUCUGGUAUGAACGGAUAAACGUAUGCAAGCUGUCUCCAUUAUAAAUUUAUUAAAAUUAUUUAUAGGGUGAAAAUACCCUAGAUAUUAAAAAAAGACGAGAAGACCCUUAGAAUUUUAAGAAUAAUCAGCAAUCGUAGUUGAUAUAAUUUUUGUUGGGGCAACAUUUUUUCAAUUGAACAAAAACUUUAAAUAAUGACAUAACAAGUAAGUUUUAUAAAGUAAAAAUUACCUAAGGGAUAACAGCAUAAUUUUAAGUAAAGAUUGUGACCUCGAUGUUGGACUAGGAACUAUUAAGGCUAGUCGUUUUAAUACAAUAGGUUCUGUUCGAACUUUAUUUCCUA
rnacentral:rRNA from 1 species